UACGGGGGGAGCAAGCGUUGUUCGGAUUUACUGGGCGUAAAGGGCGCGUAGGCGGUCAGCACAAGUCAGUUGUGAAAUCUCCGGGCUUAACUCGGAAAGGUCAACUGAUACUGUGCGACUAGAGUGCAGAAGGGGCAACUGGAAUUCCUGGUGUAGCGGUGAAAUGCGUAGGGAUCAGGAAGAACACCGAUGGCGAAGGCAGGUCGCUGGGCCACUACUGACGCUGAGAAGCGAAAGCAUGGGGAGCGAACAGG
rnacentral:rRNA from 1 species